UAAGUAUUUCUUUUUUUUUUGAUUCGCGGAUUUUUAUGAAUUUACAAAAGCAAAUUCAUAUACAAUCCACUGACUACGGAUUUUUAAAAUUUUAAUCCAAUCCAAUUUACCAAUCUAUAGAUCAAAUUUUUACCGAUCAGACGGAUUGAGUAAAUCGGAUUGGAUUUCGAACACCUCUAAUUAUAAUCAUGCGACCCUUAUAUACUUUAAUAAAAGAAAGCAAAUUGUGUUAACAGUUGUAUUUGGAUCGUGUGAGAUUUAUGUUUUAUACAGACACAAUCUAUUUAUUAAUCAUACGAAAAAAAUAAAUAAAUAAAAACUUGAAAUAAAGUAUAUACAAAUAACACAUUAUGUUUUAUUUAAUAACUAGCUAAUAUUGCUACACAUGUAACACGAGACACUAACCCACAUAAUAUUUAUUUAUCUUAAUUUACAUGAAUAUCACCCAUUCAUUAACUUAUUUGUAUGUAUCAACAAUAUUAUAUAAGAUUUUAUACAUUAUAUCAAACCUAUUGAAAUGAUAAAAUUAUACUUAUUCAAAUAAUUAAUAACAUCCAAACUCAUAUAAUGUUAGCUCAAACAAUGAAAUGUCACAUAUAUCUUUCGAUGUUUUGGUAAAUAUGCAAAAAUGUCAUCAUUUUCAUGUGUCAAAACUUGAAACUCUAAUCUGAUACAAGUAUUGAUGGGGAUGACAUGGACACAAUCCAUUUACCCCAAACCUAGUUAUUUAUAUCAAAAUCACAUCAAAUUCUAUCACCUCUACAAUUAUUAAUCAUAGAGUUUGAGAGAUUAUGAGUUAAUUAAUCUCUUAGCAUGCGACAAUUUGGUGAGAUGCUUGCUCCACCAUAUGUUAAUUUAGCAAGUAUAGCGUUUUUAAUAUUUAAUACUAUUGUUUUUUUUUUCUUAUGGCAUCAAUUUUUGAAAACCGAACAGGUAAAUUCAAUUACUGCAUUAAUUGUUGCAACACUUCCUUUAUUGUAAAAUCAUAAUUAACGGUGCGUUUCUCAUUAAACGAUCAUAACUUCUUUAUUUUAUUUUUUAUUUUUAUUAUCUCUUAACAUCCUUGAAGAAGUUUUAAAAAUAAAAUUUAUAGGUCACGAAUAAAUGAAUAUAAUAGAACUGGAGUUCAAAUUAAUGAAGUACGUGUAGGAGUACUUUGCUAAAAAUCCUCAAAGUUGACGACAAAACGAGAUGGGAACUAAAAAGUACACGUGUAGGGUCACAAUUUAAUUACCAAGGGCAUUCACGCACAAACUCUAUGAAUAAUCAAUUAUCCGAAAGGUGGGACAGAAAAGGAAUUCAAUUAAGUCCCUGCCUGUCCUGUGCAUCCGCCACGUUGGAGGUGCAAGCUGUAAAGCAAAGGCUGUACUCCAUGAUGUGACGCAACAAAAAGGCCACGUGACUGAGGAGGCUACUGUCAGCGAGUCCCGUCGUCCGUCGCUGACCCAACCCCACAGUUUUGUUUUUUCGGCAGCGUAAAUGGUAAAAGGUAAUUUACACACUACACUCCUCGUUGCUUGACACAAAUCAAACAACAUUGCUAGUUGCCAAAUUGCACCAGCUAAGACCUGUUAAUUUUCAUUUUUGACACCUGGCUCCAUUUAUUUUAGCUUUUAUAACUUAAUUGCCAAGGCGUUUGAUUAAUAUUAUUAUUGUUGCAUUGUUACUUUGGCACCAUAACUAACUAUAUUAUUUUUUAUGAAAAACUUGUGGUAUAAUUGUAAUAUUGUGUUACAGUUAUAUUCAAUUAUUAAAUGUCAAUGGACCCUAAUAAUUUAAUUACAUUUAAUAACUGAAUGUAAUUAUAGUACGGUACCAUAAUUAUACCAUAACUUGAUCUCAUUUCUUAACUUUAAAAUAGUCACAAGUAACUUAUAAAUUGAUAGUUAGUGAUAUUUAUUAAAUAUCUAUUACUUCGCCAAUGACUGAAAGUGAGCAUUAGAGAUUUAAUAAAUACAACAUUAAUGUAUGGACCAAAAAUCCACAGUCAAAAC
rnacentral:lncRNA from 1 species